UACGAAGGUCCCGAGCGUUAUCCGGAUUUAUUGGGUUUAAAGGGUGCGUAGGCGGGUUAUUAAGUCAGUGGUGAAAGCCUUCAGCUUAACUGAAGAACUGCCAUUGAUACUGAUGAUCUUGAGUAUGAUUGAGGUGGGCGGAAUGCGUCAUGUAGCGGUGAAAUGCUUAGAUAUGACACAGAACACCGAUUGCGAAGGCAGCUCACUAAGCCAUAACUGACGCUGAUGCACGAAAGCGUGGGGAGCAAACAGG
rnacentral:rRNA from 1 species